UGAUUAUUAGAUUUUGUAACUUUUUUUUUUUAGCACAAACAUGCUUGAUUUCAAUUAGAUCAACGGCUACACAGUUACAAUUGGACAGAAAUUUUGGCCAAUUAUUUCUGUAAGAAGAAAUGCAAGGACAAGAAAGAAGAAGUGGAUACAGAUAGAAACAGUUCACCGAUACAAAAAAAAAGUUACAAAAUCUAAUAAUCAUGUUCUACUACCUCGAGGCAAUUGAGAAAUUCUUCUUUCCUCGCCAUGCAAAGAAUGAAGAAAAGAAAACAUGACUUUCUUUCUACGCAGGCCUAUUUCUCUUGUGACCAGCUUUGCCAUCAGAUUUCAAAGCCCCACUAGAAUCCCCCUCGGAGGAACCUUCCAUGGAUUUGGUGAAGGAGCUGGAAAGAUCAGCAUAAAGGUCAACCACUCUCCUGAUAUUAUUGUUGAGCUCCCUAAUCAGACCCACAUUUCUGCUUAGGUUGUCAGGGAUCUUAGAUUCAUGGUUCUGGUUUAUCUCAUUGAUGAGCAGCCUAUUUUGAUCCAAGAUGUUUUGAACCUGAACAAAGUUCUUCUGAAAUGUCUGCAAGAUCUUGCCAUCUAUCUGGGUGCCAUUACCAA
rnacentral:misc_RNA from 1 species